GACGAACGCUGGCGGCGUGCUUAACACAUGCAAGUCGAACGGAAAGGCCCUGCUUGCAGGGUGCUCGAGUGGCGAACGGGUGAGUAACACGUGGGUGAUCUGCCCCUUACUUUGGGAUAAGCCUGGGAAACUGGGUCUAAUACUGGAGAGGACCAUGCUGUAGGUGGUGUGGUGGAAAGAUUAGUUUCGGUAAGGGAUGAGCUCGCGGCCUAUCAGCUUGUUGGUGGGGUAAUGGCCUACCAAGGCGUCGACGGGUAGCCGGCCUGAGAGGGUGGACGGCCACAUUGUGACUGAGAUACGGCGCAGAAGCCUACGGGAGGCAGCAGUGGGGAGUAUUGCACCAUGGGCGCAGGCCGGAUGCAGCGACGCCGCGUGGGGGGUGACGGCCUUCGGGUUGUAAACUCCUUUCAGCCAUGACGAAGCCCUUGUGGUGACGGUAGUGGUAGAAGAAGCACCGGCUAACUACGUG
rnacentral:rRNA from 1 species